rnacentral:lncRNA from 1 species
GUGCUAACAGAAUUCUCAGACUCACACUUCUCAAUGGAUACUUUGGCUAAGGGUCCAUCUUCUGCUUUCAUGAUUGUCCCCAAGCCAGAGUGAUGGAGGAUGGAGAGAGAAUGUGGAUUGGUACUAAGGUGUCAUGUGACUGCCUCAGACUGAAUUGUAAAACAUUUUUGGACAGUUUCAUACACGGAGAUGAUGAAGAUGCUAAAGUCUACCAAGGAAGCCAAGGAGGAACCUAUCUAUUUUAGGUUGGAGGAGAGGAUCAGGAAAGAGCUGUUUGUACGAACGAUCUCCUAGUGGACCUCCGGAAGAAGAAAAGGAAGAGUGAGAUAAAGAGUGAAGGUCGGACAGCAGCAGCAGAACAGAGAAAAGAACACGCAAAGGCAGGAGAGCGCUGGACGAAGCCAGAUAUCUAAAAGGCAACGGGACCAGGAACCAGUACAGAUGAGGCUGAAUAACGAGGUAGCAGCCAGUUUGUGGAGUGACUCAGGGGCCAGGGCAAGGGAUUUGGUCUUUCUUUCAAGAGCACUGAGAAAACAUCAAACAUAAUCUAAAAUAAGCCAACCUCUGGUUUAAAGAGAUAACUGGAUCAGCUGUGUGGAAAACAAUCAGAGUCCUUACGACUCAGGGAGCCUGGGGUGGGAAUUCCUUAUAGAAUGCAUAUGGAUUCAUAUAUGUUUUUAUAUUUUAUAUCCAAGUCUCUACU